UACAGAGGGGGGCAAGCGUUGUUCGGAAUUACUGGGCGUAAAGGGCUCGUAGGUGGCCAACUAAGUCAGACGUGAAAUCCCUCGGCUUAACCGGGGAACUGCGUCUGAUACUGGAUGGCUUGAGUUUGGGAGAGGGACGCGGAAUUCCAGGUGUAGCGGUGAAAUGCGUAGAUAUCUGGAGGAACACCGGUGGCGAAGGCGGCGUCCUGGACCAACACUGACACUGAGGAGCGAAAGCGUGGGGAGCGAACAGG
rnacentral:rRNA from 1 species